AUUGAACGCUGGCGGCAUGCCUUACACAUGCAAGUCGAACGGCAGCACGGGAGCAAUCCUGGUGGCGAGUGGCGAACGGGUGAGUAAUAUAUCGGAACGUGCCCGGUCGUGGGGAUAACGUAGCGAAAGCUACGCUAAUACCGCAUACGAUCUACGGAUGAAAGCGGGGGAUCGCAAGACCUCGCGCGAUUGGAGCGGCCGAUAUCAGAUUAGGUAGUUGGUGAGGUAAAGGCUCACCAAGCCGACGAUCUGUAGCUGGUCUGAGAGGACGACCAGCCACACUGGGACUGAGACACGGCCCAGACUCCUACGGGAGGCAGCAGUGGGGAAUUUUGGACAAUGGGCGCAAGCCUGAUCCAGCAAUGCCGCGUGCAGGAUGGAGGCC
rnacentral:rRNA from 1 species